rnacentral:rRNA from 1 species
UACGAAGGGGGCUAGCGUUGCUCGGAAUUACUGGGCGUAAAGCGCACGUAGGCGGAUUGGUCAGUUAGGGGUGAAAUCCCAGGGCUCAACCCUGGAACUGCCUUUAAUACUGCCAAUCUAGAGUUCGAGAGAGGUGAGUGGAAUUCCGAGUGUAGAGGUGAAAUUCGUAGAUAUUCGGAGGAACACCAGUGGCGAAGGCGGCUCACUGGCUCGACACUGACGCUGAGGUGCGAAAGCGUGGGGAGCAAACAGG